GAAAAAAUCAGUAAAAAUUCUGAGAAUUUGAGUCGGUGAAAUGGCAGCAGCAUCAGCAACUACUCUCUCAGUUGGUUCCGCCACAUCCUUUGGCUCCAUAGUGAGCCCAAAAUUACAAUCAAAGGCCUUUAUUGCGAAAUGCAAUACCAGGGACUACCUUAGGAGUUUCAGUGGCCUUAAGGCAGAGGCAUUUGUACGAUGUGAAUCCGAGUCGUCAUUUCUAGGAAAUGAAAGCAUUGCAGCUCUUCGACAAUCCAUUACUCCUAAAGCCCGAAACCAAAAGCAGAGAUCUUCGAACCAUGUUCAGCCUCAAGCAUCUUAUAAAGUGGCUGUUCUCGGAGCCUCUGGCGGUAUAGGCCAGCCUCUAGCUCUUCUGAUUAAGAUGUCACCGCUAGUAUCAUCGUUGCACCUUUAUGAUAUUGCAAAUGUCAAAGGAGUCGCAGCAGAUCUCAGCCAUUGCAACACUCCCGCUCAGGUUUUUGACUUUACGGGAGCUUCUGAGUUGGCCAAUUCUUUGAAAGGUAUAGAUGUAGUUGUCAUACCAGCUGGCGUUCCGAGAAAGCCUGGUAUGACACGGGACGACUUGUUCAACAUAAAUGCUAAUAUUGUGAAAAGCUUGGUUGAGGCUGUUGCUGACAAUUGCCCAGAUGCCUUUAUCCACAUUAUCAGCAAUCCAGUCAACUCCACAGUGCCGAUUGCUGCCGAGGUUCUGAAGCAAAAGGGUGUGUAUGAUCCUAAAAAACUCUUUGGUGUUACCACCCUGGACGUUGUCAGAGCAAACACAUUCGUCGCGCAGAAGAAAAACCUGAAACUCAUUGACGUUGACGUCCCCGUGAUUGGUGGGCAUGCAGGGAUAACAAUUCUGCCAUUGCUGUCAAAGACAAGACCAUCAACUACUUUCACGGACGAAGAAGUGCAGGAACUAACCGUGAGGAUCCAAAACGCUGGGACCGAGGUCGUUGAAGCAAAGGCUGG
rnacentral:misc_RNA from 1 species